rnacentral:misc_RNA from 1 species
UUUGUUUACGCGCGAGUCGAAUAUUUGCUUGCAAUUUUCUGCGGUGAGAAAGGAAAAUACGUGUUUAUUUCAUUUGUUUUAAUGGUUUUAAUGUUUAAUUUGUUUUGUUCAAGAAAGAAAAUUAGCACAGUGAGACAAACAGCUCGGCACUUCGUCAUUGAAAUGUUUAAAAAUCAAGACAACCGGCUAGAUACUUUUCGUCGCGUUUGUGAUGAAAUUGGGGAAGAGCGCAGCUAUAACAACAAAGCAGAAUUGCUGAAAGUGUUCUUUCAAAAAGGUGCUGAUCGUAAAGGUUUUAAAGGCGAUGUGUUGCUUUGGGUACAAAUGUUAAUACCCGGUGCCAGUCACCGGGUGUACAACCUGCAAAACAAGCAAAUGGUCAAGUUGUUCUCAAGGAUAUUCUCUUCUGAUAUUCAAGACAUGCAGCGGGAUUUGGAACAAGAUGGCGACGUUUCCGAAACAUUGUCGAAGUAUUUUGAGACUUCACAAAAAAUAAAACCGCAAGAAGAAAGUUCGCUCUAUCUACAAGAAGUUGAAGAAUUUCUGAUAAAAUUGGAACAGCGUACCAAAGAAGAUGAACAAACAGAUUUGUUGCGACAAUUGUGCAAGCAAGCAACUGCUUUAGAUCUGAGAAUGGUGAUACGUCUAAUCAAGCAAGAUUUGCGUAUAAAUGCAGGAGCGCGGCAUAUACUUGAUGCAUUUGGACCACUUGCCUAUCCCGCCUACCAAUCUUCCCGGGACUUGGGUGCUGUUGUGAAGCAAUUCGCUUCCACAGGAAAGCAGAAACAGUUGGUGUCGUCGCCUCUUAAAGUCACAAAAAAAAAAAUAAAUUGUCCAACUAGGUUACAGGUAAAAUUGGUCAGGUGCAAGUAAUGACGCCCAUUUCCCCUAUGUUAGCUAACGCCUGUAAAUCGGUUGAAGAAGCAUUCAAGAAAUGCCCAAGCGGUUUAUACACUGAAAUCAAAUAUGAUGGGGAGCGCGUACAGAUACACAAACGAGGGACCGAAUUCAAAUUUUUUAGUCGUAAUCUAAAACCCGUCAUGGAUCAUAAAAUCAAACGUUUCCACGAACUUAUCCCAAAGGUGAAUUCUCACAACUUUGCUCUCGAUUUUCGCAAGAUUCGAAAUG